UGUUGACCAGGACAACGCGAAGCCCCAGCUCUCUUCUUUCCAGCUUACCUCCUGACUCUGAGGAUGAAACCUGAAACCAUCCCGCAGAUGACAGCGGCUGCCCUGACAAGACCAGCCACAGGCCCAGACCACCCAGGCUUUUUGAGGUAAACCAUCGCCCCACUGGUGCCUGCGCAGAUGGACCAGGAGUGAUCCCCUGAAAGGACCUACUAUCACUUUUGCCUCAUUAUAAUACUAACAUCUCCAUCCAGAGAGGAGCCUCCGCCUCAUUUACACAACAUUCAAGCCUGCGCCGUGCCCACUGCCUGCAAUACUCCCUGAGGCCACUGCCGCCGCCUGUGCCCUGUGCUGCUCCCCAACGUGCUCACCCCACGGCGACCUGUGCUGCUCCCACUGGCCUGUGCUGGUUCUUCGGCCACCGUUGCCCUUUGGCCUGCACUGCAUCCUCUGGCCUGCGCCGUUCCCUCCGGGCACCGCUGCUCCCUCUGGCCACCGCUGCUGCCUACGGUCUGCGCUGCUCUGACCGACCUCCGCUCGCUCCGCACAGUGACGUGCGCUGCUCUGCCUGGCCUGGGCUGCUUCCUUCAGCCCCCGCCGCUCCAUUGGCCUGCGCUGCUCCCUCUCGCCUGCGCUGCUCCCUCUGGCCACCGCCGCUCCCUAUGAUCUUUGCUGCUCUGAUCGACCUGCG